AUAAUACUCCCUCCGUCUCAAAUUUUUUGUUUUAGAUUUGUCUAAAUACAGAUGUAUCAAGUAUAUGGAUAUAUCAAAUCACGUUUUAGUAUUAAAUACAUCCGUAUCUAGGUAAAUCUAAGACAAGAAUUUUGAGACGGAGGGAGUAGUAC
rfam:Triticum aestivum genome assembly, contig: Triticum_aestivum_CS42_TGACv1_scaffold_289055_4AL